CGGGAUGCGAGCCAGGCAGCUUAUGACGCCAGCUCUGCCCUCCAAAGCAAUGUCCAGAACUCUUGUGAUCUUGUGACUCGCUACUCAGAACUGGAACAGAAGCAUACUCAAGUCGAGCUGAGCUUGAAGCUGGUUCAGGAGAAGCUGACAAAGGCAAAGGAGGAGACUGAAGGUAAGGUAAGGGAGGCCCAGCAGAAGAAAG